rnacentral:rRNA from 1 species
ACGGCCCACCGUGUCCGUUGGCCGGUAGAGGAACAUGCCGCGGUGGCUUCUAGGGAGGGAGCCGGGCGGCGCUCUGGGGAGGAAGCCUGGAGGCGGAGCACUGGGGAAGGAAUCGGGCGGCGGCGCGCUGGGAGGUAACCGGGCGGCGGAGCGAUGGGGAAGGAGCCGGGCGGCGACGCGCUGGGGAGGGAGCAGGGCGGCGGCACGCUGGGGAGGGAUCCGGCCGGCGGCGCGCUGGGCGGGGAUCCGGCUGGCGGCGCGCUGGGCAGUGAUCUGGCCGACGGCGCCCUGGGCAGGGGGUUGGGGAGGAUCGGGCGUGGGAAUGGGGAUGACGAGUCUCUGCGGGGCACGGUGACU